UACGUAGGUGGCAAGCGUUGUCCGGAAUUAUUGGGCGUAAAGCGCGCGCAGGUGGUUUCUUAAGUCUGAUGUGAAAGCCCACGGCUCAACCGUGGAGGGUCAUUGGAAACUGGGGAACUUGAGUGCAGAAGAGGAAAGUGGAAUUCCAAGUGUAGCGGUGAAAUGCGUAGAGAUUUGGAGGAACACCAGUGGCGAAGGCGACUUUCUGGUCUGUAACUGACACUGAGGCGCGAAGGCGUGGGGAGCGAACAGG
rnacentral:rRNA from 1 species